UAGGAAGCAGUUUUCUGUCUCCAGCAAGAAGACUGUUUGGGGGUGAGCCUGCAUCUUGGAAUCUUGCUGUGAAGACAGUCUUGCCAGCUGCUUCCCUUAAUGAAGUGCUAUGAGAAGCUUCUCUGCCGCACUGCAAGGUGAGAGGACAUUGACUUGCAGGUGCAUCUCCUCAGGCUCUGGAAACACAUUUCUCCUGCUGCAGGAGCACUGCAUGUCCAUUUGCAGCUUCUGGAGGACUCUACUAGGCUUACUUCCACAUUGGAGCUCUGUUUGACAAAGAGGGGAAAAAGAAGACUGCAAGUCCUGGUUGCUGCAGCAGCCCCUGCUUCCUUCAGUAGGCUGCCUCCGCCCUGCCUGGGGAAGUGCUUCUGCUGUCUGAGGUGCUGGAUGCAGGUGGAGAUGGGCUCAUGCAUUCCGAUUUAUUGCUGGCACUCAAAAUGUCAGAAAGAUCCAGCCAAAACAAAGGUUUCUCCUUACCCUGUUACAGGAGCACGCACAGACCAAGGUUUUCAAAAGACUGGAGUCAGGCUUCCACCCUCAUCACUGGAAACUCAAUGUCUCAGUGUUACAAGAAGUCUGCAUUGCCAAGGCAUGGAGAGCAGGAAGAGCCUGUCCUCAGUGACACCUGUGGAAAUCAUUGACUUGAGCAGGCUCUUCUGGCCCUGCUCAUGCCAAUGGAAGUUCUCUGCUCCCUUGAUGCAGCCACAUUUGGGGCUGAAAGCACAACACAAGUCCAGGGCUUCAAGUGUUUAUUGCAAGAGACUGUUCCUCGGUGACUUUUGUUUAUUUAUCUUUAUGAUGGCUGUGACUGAAGGACUUUACCACCUAUUUUUGUUGCUGCUGUUAUUGCUAUUGUUGUGGUUGUAAUUAAUGUAAUUUAUUUUGUAAAUUAUCAGUUAUCUAGUAAACGUAUCUUUGGGGAUUUGUCCUGAAGAACAGUACUUUAUUAGAGAUAAUCCUUAGCUACUCAGCUCAAAUAACAUUCCAAAGCUGGAAGUCUCUCACAGAGAGACCAAUUGUGACUAUUAAAGGGGAUUUGGAGGAGGAGGAGGCAAGAAUGACGUUUUCAAAUAUUCCAUGAAGUUGAAAACUUAACCAACAAUAUCAAUGAAUCCCUGCACAGGCUCUCAGCCUCAUUUUGCUUUGUGUUAAAAGAUUCUCGGCUGCAUUUUAAUUGUGUGCCUAAUAUUAUUGAUAUUUAGCAGUUGUUUCUGUCACCUUCCAUCUCAGUCACCAUUACAAAACACAGCUCGGGCUACCUGGGAAUUAAUUUUCUGGCUAAUAUUUUGUCUCAUCUCCUGAGAGGACCUGAUAUAAUAGCCAGCAAAUCAGGGAUCAAACAGCCCCUGUUUUGUGGAUCCACUCUUUCUCUAUGCUCCGUGUCAGCUCCAGUUGAAAUGAAACUUAUUUUAUCUUGCAUUAUGAGUGUAUGGAUUCUGAAUUUUCCAAGCUAAGCAGCUGUUCUCACUAGUCCAGGCAGGAUUUGCAAUGUGACUUGUAAUUAAACACAAGACAUGUAGAAAGCAGAGAGGCACUGACCCAGAUUCACAAAGACUCACUUGUGCCCAUGUGUAAAUACUCUGCUUUGCUGAUGGCAGAAAAUAUGAGACAGCUCCAGGGGUGAGGCAGGGCCCCUUCCCUUUUCUGUUACUUGUGGAAGUUUCCAUUGUUCCCAGGCAGCCAACCCCUAUGGUAAUCCAGUGGCAACUGCGGGGUUGGCCCAUGGUGAGGCUUGGCUGUGCUCGUGGUGCUCAGGGCCAGGGGACAGUGGUCAGGAGGCUGCACACGGAAGCUGCUCAGCCGAGAUCACUUCAGCUGAAGCGCUGAGUGUGGAGCCUCAGGGUAGUGAGGGGCUCAAUGUGUUUAC
ensembl:lncRNA